UUACGAUCAUAUCACUUUGAAACACUGGAUCUUGUACGAUCAUCGAAGUUAAGCAACAUCGAGUCUAGUCAGUACCUUGAUGGAUGACCACUUGGGGAUAUCAGGUGCUGUAA